rnacentral:misc_RNA from 1 species
CUGGGAUGCAGUUCAACCUUUUUUUCCACCUUUGCAGUCAGCAACGUGGUGAUGUUUCAUGUCUUCACCCUCAAGUGAUCGUUUGCUUAUUCUCAACGCAGCAGGCUGUUCCAGUUCCAUAGACGGUUGUUCCAGAUCGUCCAUUUUGAUCGGUGAACCUUCAAUCACCAGAAAAAUGGCUAAGAGAACUAGAACGUGAAG